CAUCCAAAGUCCCGCCAGCCUCACUGAGAGCCUGGGAAGAUCAAAACACACUGAAUCACAGUCUACCCCGUUCAAGCUGGUAGUUAGCGCGUGUUUGCGAUGAUCAGGCGCCUCGCUAAGCGGCUUACGUGCGCUAUCUCGUCUGACCAUCACAAGGGCAUCAGAGCAAUUUCAUCCCCUCUCCUGGACUCUAAGCUCUUUAAGAGCAGGAAUAACGUCUUGUGGCUCCACUGCUGAGACCAGGGUCCUGGAUGACAUUCCUCCUACACAUCCACAGGCGUGCAUGUAAAUCUUCCUUAUUCUUUGUAUUGGCUACAUAAUAUUUCAUUGAAAUAUUGGACUAAAAUAUCCAAUGGACUAAAAUAUCCUCCACGAGGGGGCAUCCCAGGAGUCCACGUUUUAUGCUGAGCUGCUGUGUCCACUAAAGCUCCAAAUGAUUGGACCCGAAUGGACACCUGACCCAAAAGCAGCCAACCCAUUGGCUGGACAGCAACCAAUGACCUAUGUGACUUAUUUACUCAUUUUUAAUUUACUUUUGAGAGAGAGACACCCCCUCCCCCGGCACAAGUGGGGGAGGAGCAGAGA